rnacentral:misc_RNA from 1 species
UCCGGCUUAACGCCGGCAGUCUCGCUAGAGUCCCCGGCAUGACCCGCUGGCAACUAGCGACAAGGGUUUCGCUCGUUAAGGGACUUAACCCGACACUUCACAGCACGAGCUGACGACAGCCAUGCAACACCUGUGCACGUUUCACCCUUGCGGGCAACUUUGAUGGUUAUCCCACCAAAGCAUCCGUGCAUGUCAAACCUGGGUAAGGUUCUUCGCGUUGCUUCGAAUUAAGCCACAUGCUCCACCGCUUGUGUGAGCCCCCGUCAAUUCCUUUGAGUUUUAGCCUUGCGGCCGUACUCCCCAGGCGGCAUACUUAUCGCUUUUGUUUCGGCUCGGGAGCCGUCAGAGACACCCGAACCUAGUAUGCAUCGUUUACGGCGUGGACUAC